CUUGCAAUUUAUGAUGGCGACCGGCGCACGGGUGAGUAACGCGUAUCCAACCUACCCAUUACUAGGGAAUAACCCAGCGAAAGUUGGCCUAAUGCCCUAUGUAGUCGUUUGAUCGCCUGAGAUUUCGACGAAAGAUUUAUCGGUAUUGGAUGGGGAUGCGUCUGAUUAGCUUGUUGGCGGGGUAAAGGCCCACCAAGGCAACGAUCAGUAGGGGUUCUGAGAGGAAGGUCCCCCACAUUGGAACUGAGACACGGUCCAAACUCCUACGGGAGGCAGCAGUGAGGAAUAUUGGUCAAUGGGCGAGAGCCUGAACCAGCCAAGUAGCGUGCAGGAUGACGGCCCUAUGGGUUGUAAACUGCUUUUAUAUGGGAAUAAAGUGAGGGACGUGUCCCUUAUUGCAUGUACCAUACGAAUAAGGACCGGCUAAUUCCGUGCCAGCAGCCGCGGUAAUACGGAAGGUCCAGGCGUUAUCCGGAUUUAUUGGGUUUAAAGGGAGCGUAGGCUGUUUGUUAAGCGUGUUGUGAAAUGUAGGAGCUCAACUUUUAGAUUGCAGCGCGAACUGGCAGACUUGAGUGCGCACAACGUAGGCGGNNNUCAUGGUGUAGCGGUGAAAUGCUUAGAUAUCAUGACG
rnacentral:rRNA from 1 species